GACAGAGGGUGCAAACGUUGUUCGGAUUUACUGGGCGUAAAGCGUGUGUAGGCGGCUUGGCAAGUUGGAUGUGAAAGCCCACGGCUCAACCGUGGAAGCGCACCCAAAACUGCUUCGCUCGAGUCUCGGAGGGGAAGGUGGAAUGCUUGGUGUAGAGGUGAAAUUCGUAGAUAUCAAGCAGAACACCUGCGGCGAAGGCGGCCUUCUGGACGAUGACUGACGCUGAGACACGAAAGCGUGGGGAGCGAACAGG
rnacentral:rRNA from 1 species